rnacentral:rRNA from 1 species
AGUUUGAUCCUGGCUCAGAUUGAACGCUGGCGGCAUGCCUUACACAUGCAAGUCGAACGGCAGCACGGGAGCAAUCCUGGUGGCGAGUGGCGAACGGGUGAGUAAUACAUCGGAACGUGCCCUGUCGUGGGGGAUAACUAGUCGAAAGAUUAGCUAAUACCGCAUACGACCUGAGGGUGAAAGCGGGGGACCGCAAGGCCUCGCGCGAUAGGAGCGGCCGAUGUCUGAUUAGCUAGUUGGUGGGGUAAAGGCCCACCAAGGCGACGAUCAGUAGCUGGUCUGAGAGGACGAUCAGCCACACUGGGACUGAGACACGGCCCAGACUCCUACGGGAGGCAGCAGUGGGGAAUUUUGGACAAUGGGGGCAACCCUGAUCCAGCAAUGCCGCGUGUGUGAAGAAGGCCUUCGGGUUGUAAAGCACUUUUGUCCGGAAAGAAAUCCCCUGCCCUAAUACGGCGGGGGGAU